rnacentral:rRNA from 1 species
CCUACGGGGGGCUGCAGUCGAGAAUCAUUCACAAUGGGGGCAACCCUGAUGGUGCGACGCCGCGUGGGGGAAUGAAGGUCUUCGGAUUGUAAACUCCUGUCAUGCGGGAGCAAAUGAAAAAGAUAGUAUCACAAGAGGAAGAGACGGCUAACUCUGUGCCAGCAGCCGCGGUAAUACAGAGGUCUCAAGCGUUGUUCGGAAUCAUUGGGCGUAAAGCGUGCGUAGGCUGUUUCGUAAGUCGUGUGUGAAAGGCGCGGGCUCAACCCGCGGACGGCACAUGAUACUGCGAGGCUAGAGUAAUGGAGAGGUAGCCGGAAUUCUCGGUGUAGCAGUGAAAUGCGUAGAUAUCGAGCGGAACACUCGUGGCGAAGGCGGGUUCCUGGACAUUAACUGACGCUGAGGCACGAAGGCCAGGGGAGCGAAAGGGAUUAGAUACCCGGGUAGUC